rnacentral:rRNA from 1 species
UCAGGCCUAACACAUGCAAGUCGAACGGCAGCACGGGAGCAAUCCUGGUGGCGAGUGGCGAACGGGUGAGUAAUACAUCGGAACGUGCCCAAUCGUGGGGGAUAACGCAGCGAAAGCUGUGCUAAUACCGCAUACGAUCUACGGAUGAAAGCAGGGGACCGCAAGGCCUUGCGCGAAUGGAGCGGCCGAUGGCAGAUUAGGUAGUUGGUGAGGUAAAGGCUCACCAAGCCUUCGAUCUGUAGCUGGUCUGAGAGGACGACCAGCCACACUGGGACUGAGACACGGCCCAGACUCCUACGGGAGGCAGCAGUGGGGAAUUUUGGACAAUGGGCGAAAGCCUGAUCCAGCAAUGCCGCGUGCAGGAUGAAGGCCUUCGGGUUGUAAACUGCUUUUGUACGGAACGAAACGGUUCUUUCUAAUAAAGAGAGCUAAUGACGGUACCGUAAGAAUAAGC